GGAGAAUAUGUGGCAAUUUUCCUUUCUCCCGAUGUAACUAAAAACAACUCGGUCGAUAUCAAAUACCAUGUUGUCAAUAACAGGAGAUCCUGAAGAGAACCAGGGAGCUUCUUCGUGAGCGACAGACUUCACAGUACAGAGCAGCCCGGUCGAGAGCGUGGGGAUGAUUUUAAGGGCGCUUACUUUAAUAAGAGUUGAAAUUUGAACGUCAACAAGGACGGCCAUUAGCAAGUCGAGGCAGAGUAUACCGAAGCAACAGGUUGCGGUAGACAGAGACGUACUUGACUAUUGGCGUGUUUCAAUGCUUACAAUGUAGAAACUAAGGCCAAUCAUCACACAUGCCCAUACACUGAAUGUUUUCUGUGCUAGAUAUUAUUUUUAAUCAGUCUGUCGUAAAUAAUUUACACGGGCCAUGAAUUGAAA